GCGCACAGGCAGAGGAGGGGAAGGACGCAACAGCUGUGAGCCCGGCGCCGGCCAGGGAAGUGCGCGUUCGCUCUGAUUUGAUCCACAGCACUUUGAGCACAGUGCUAUAUUUUUUUAAUGUCAUCUGGCUUUGUGGCCAAACUGGAGAAGUCACUGGGAGAAUCACUGACUUCUGCAGUCCAUCGAAACCAAGAAUGUAAAAUCAUUCAUCUCAGCCCAAAUGCUUCUCAUCUCCCUUCUACUUUGGUGCAGUUAACUUUCUCCCCAACUCAAAGACCAUUUGGGGUGUUGCAAAUGUUUCUCCCUCAGGGACAUCAGGACGUCAUAAUGGUUUACUGGGGGACGGGGGACAGCAGAGCACGGCAAGAUGGCUGGUGACUAGAUGAUGGAAGAUGGUGCACACCUGCUGUUCCACUCACCCUCCUUUCAGGCUCCGAAAGAGACACAUCGAUAAUCAAUUUAUUUAAGCAACUAUAAAUGUAGGCAUAGAUAGGUAGGUCUACCUAAAGAUCCUCUGUGACAAGUCUAAAAAAGCAAGCCAAGAAUAAAACAUCAUUAUGGCACUUACUGGUUGUGCCACUCUACAGACACAUAUUGCCUUAUAAUUGAUGCCUUGUACAACUGUGUCUCCUUGUUUACUGUCUGUUUUCUAAUAGAAUUACGCCACUUUGGAGUUUGAAGGUCAAAUAUAUGCCCCUCUUCCACUGCUGCUAUUGAGAAUGUCUAUUAACAUUUUCUACACUUGGUCAUCUGGUCUUUGCUUGAACAAAUACAAUGGACAUAACAUUUCUAGUAUUGAUGCUCACUUUAUCAGAAAACUUAUUCUUAAAGUGAACCAAAAUAUGAUUGAUUACCUCUAACUUCUAACCCUUGAUCCUAGACAUGCCCUUGGAAGGAAUAAAAAACAAAUCUACUCCCACUGUUCCAUGGAAGCCCUCCAUACAUGUAUAGGUUUUUAGCUUGUUCCACAUGAAAAUUCUCUUCUCCAAGCAAAUAUAUUCAACUCUUCCUGUGGUUCUUCCAGGCAUUUCAACUUCCUUUUCCUUCAUUCAUUCAACAGACUCUUACUGAAGAUCUACUAUGUUUAAAGCAUUGUGUUGUGCACUGUCUAUAUAAUGAGGAGCAAAAACAGACAGGGUUCUUGUUCUCAUUGAUCUCAGCGCCAAGACAGGGAAGGCAGACAUUCAUCACCUAAUCUCACUGAUGGAUUGAUAGUUAAAAGUUCAGAUAAGGCUCUGAAAGAAAAGAAUACUGAUAUAUACAAGCAUAUGACAAAGGAACCUGGCCUAGCCUGGAAGUCUAGGGAAGGUUUCUCUGAGGAAGUAAUGAUUGAGCCGAGACAUGAAGAAAUAGUAGAAUAAAGUGGGGAAAGGAAGACAGGCAAAAGAAUAGAGGGAUCAGCAUGUUCAAGGAUCCUGAAAAGAGAGGGUGCAAGGUCAUGUUCAAAAAAUGAAAGGAUAGUGUAGUGAGAGUUCAGAGAAAGAUGGAUAGGAAGGGGAGAGGUAAAUUUGGUUGAGUUCAGCUGAGAAAGCAUCAGCAGGAGCCUUGCAGGCCAGGUAACGGUUUUGGACUUUAUCCUCAAAACAAUAGGAAGUCACUGAAGGGUGUGGUAAAUUGUAUUCCUGGUCCCCAAAAAUUCUGGCUUCACUUCCUUCAGUACUCCUCUCUGUGGGAAGACUUUUCCUCCCUCCCUUUUGAGCUUAGAAAGGACUUUGUGAGCUGCUUUGGACAAUAAAAUGUGAGCAACAGUGAUAUGCAUCCCAUCCAGGCAGGAGUUUUAAGAGCCAGCAUGUGGAUACUUUCUCUUCAUUCACGGUCACUGCUACCAUAACCAGCAAUGUUCCACAGAGAAACUGCUUCAUCAACUUAAAUUCCAAAGUGAAAUUUCCAUGGAGCACAGCCAUGCUGUGAAUGAGCAAUAAACUGCUGUUGUUGAAAGCUAAUGGGAUUUCUGGAGUUGUUUGUUACUAUAGCAUUACUGAACUUAUCUGACAGAUACAAAGAAUUUUAUGGGCUUGAGGGCACAUGACCAAAUCUGUGUUUUGAAGAGAAAAGUUAACUACUGUUGAGAA